UACAGAGGGUGCGAGCGUUGUCCGGAAUCACUGGGCGUAAAGGGCGCGUAGGUGGUGGCUUAAGCGUGCGGUGAAAGCUCGGAGCUCAACUCCGAGUCGGCCGUGCGAACUGGGCUCACUGGAGCAUAGUAGAGGCAGGUGGAAUUCCGGGUGUAGCGGUGGAAUGCGUAGAGAUCCGGAAGAACACCGGUGGCGAAGGCGGCUCACUGGCUCGUAACUGACGCUCAUGCACGACAGCGUGGGGAUCAAACAGG
rnacentral:rRNA from 1 species